GUAAACGCAAAUGCUCACUAGGAAGAGUGCCUGUGCAUUCGGCUAGUCAUUUCUGUAAAAGACAAGACGUGGGUGCAACAGUCAAUACGUCCAUCUAAAAAAGAAAUAGGAAGUGCGGGAAUGCAGAAAACACAUAAGAUGUCACCACAGGCCUCAUAACAGCUGGAAUGAUGACCAUAGGGUGGGUGCAUAACCUGUUCAAUUCAGCAAGCAUCUGAAUUCAAGCAAACAUCCCUGAUGAGGUUCCUUCUGACGAUGCAAAUAUGAUCAGUAUCAAAGAUGCUCACCAGAAUGACCAGCCAUAGUCCCAUGUGUGAGGCCUCCAGUCUUCAGGUCCCAAGCUGACUGUAAUCUGGAACACUUGUGUGUACAUCAUGUGGGCCACCAUUCCCAGAAGACCUGUUGAGUAAUCCACAUGUCCACUGGAAUUAAAGAGGAGCAUUAAGGCCCCAAAUGAAAAGGGCUAUUGGGUAUUCAGCAAAUCAAAUAAUCAAAAAUUCAAAAAGCAGCAGCUGUUCUGGCUUUAUAAAUGUGAGGGUUUACCCACAAUGCAUCUGAUAUUAAGUAAAACGUUUAAUUCUGUGAAAUAUUGUUUUAUAAAUCUUAUGUUUUUUUUUUUAAAUAAAAUGUAAUGGAAAAGCUG
rnacentral:lncRNA from 1 species